rnacentral:tRNA from 2 species
CACGGGAUAGAGUAAAAGGUUAACUCAUUAGGCUCAUGAUCUGAAAAUAUAGGUUCAAACCCUAUUCCCGUAU